UAUUAAAAACAUGGCCUUUUGAUUAUGAUUUAAGGUCGGGCCUGCCCAUUGAUUUAAUUAUUUAACGGCCGCGGUAAACUGACCGUGCAAAGGUAGCAUAGUAAUUAGUUUUUUAAUUGAAAGCUUGUAUGAAGGGUUUAAUGAGAAAGCGGCUGUCUCUGUUCAAUUUAUUUAGAAUUUUACUUUUAAGUAAAAAGGCUUAGAUUAUCCUGGAAGACGAGAAGACCCUAUAGAGUUUUACAUUUAUUUGUCUUUAGAGAUGUAAAGAAUAUAUUGCUUUUUAGAUAAGUGUUUGUUUGAUUGGGGUGAUUGGAAAAUUAAGUCAACUUUUCUUUGAUGAGUACAUUUGUUUAUGGAUAUAUGAUCCUCUGUUAGAGAUUAUAAGAUAAAAUUACCUUAGGGAUAACAGCGUAAUGUUUUUUGAGAGUUCUAAUCGAAAAAAAUGGUUGCGACCUCGAUGUUGGAUUAAAAUAAAUUUUUGGUGUAGAAGCUAAGAUAAUUGGGUCUGUUCGACCUUUAAAAUUUUACAUGAUCUGAGUUUAAACCGGCGUGAGCCAGGU
rnacentral:rRNA from 1 species